rnacentral:rRNA from 1 species
GACGAACGCUGGCGGCGUGCCUAAUACAUGCAAGUCGAACGCAGUGGGGAAGGGUGAGUAACACGUGGGUAACCUCCCAUCAGAGGGGAUAACAAUUGGAAACAGGUGCUAAAACGAUACUGAUUGAUGAAGCCGCGGUGCAUUGGCUAGUUGGUGUGGUAACGGCUCACCAAGGCAACGAUGCAAAGAAGACCUGAGAGGGUGAUCAGCCCCACUGGGACUGAGACACGGCCCAGACCCAACUGGGAGGCAGCAGUAGAGAAUCUUAGGCAAGUGACGAAAGUCUGACCGAGAAAAGCCGCGUGAGUGAAGAAGGUUUUCGGAUCGUAAAACUAAGUUGUUAGAGAAGAGGUAUCUAACCAGAAAGCCACGGCUAACUACGUGCCAGCAGCCGCGGUAAUAC